rnacentral:rRNA from 1 species
UACGGGGGGGGUAAGCGUUGUUCGGAAUUACUGGGCGUAAAGAGCGCGCAGGCGGUCGUUCAAGUCGAGUGUGAAAGCCCCCGGCUCAACUGGGGAGGGUCAUUCGAUACUGAUCGACUCGAAGGCAGGAGAGGGAAGCGGAAUUCCCGGUGUAGUGGUGAAAUGCGUAGAUAUCUGGAGGAACACCGGUGGCGAAGGCGGGUCUCUGGGCCGAUACUGACGCUGAGGAGCGAAAGCGUGGGGAGCAAACAGG